CCUUAUAGUUGAAUAACAACAUUAAAUUGCAGCUUUAAAAGUGUAGCCAUACUAAGGUUU
rnacentral:tRNA from 1 species